rnacentral:rRNA from 1 species
GGGAUUAGCGGCGAACGGGUGAGUAACGCGUGAGGAACCUGCCUCUUACAACGGGAUAGCCUCGGGAAACCGGGAUUAAUACCGUAUAAGACUCCGACAUCUCCUGAUGAUGAAGUCAAAGCGUAUGCGGUAAGAGAUGGCCUCGCGUCUGAUUAGUUAGUUGGCGGGGUAACGGCCCACCAAGACGACGAUCAGUAACCGGCCUGAGAGGGUGAACGGUCACAUUGGAACUGAGACACGGUCCAAACUCC